rnacentral:misc_RNA from 1 species
GGAGGUUUCUUGAUGAAGGUCAUGCCUUUAAGUUCCAGAUCAUCAGCAGAUACACCGACUACUGUAGAUAUUGAACAACUAGGAGAAGCAGAAGAUUGACUUAAACCUAUAACAUUCGUUUGCAGCAAUUUCCCACAACCAGGAAAUUUUUCUUCAGUUUCAGAUGUGAACCGAGAACAUGGAGCAACUAUAGAAGUACAAAGAUCAGGAUCUGAAAUUUUUGUACAUAUCACACAGCUGUCAAUAUUUUCGCAACUACAGCAUCCACAGCCUCCCAUGUAAACGGCAGAUCUUUUAUUCUCAACAUCAGGAAGCUGG